rnacentral:tRNA from 2 species
UAUUUGUUGGUGUAAAGAGCAUAAAAAGUUUUGAUCUUUUAGGGAAUGGUGCAAAUCCGUUACAAAUAA